AGUGAACGCUGGCGGUAUGCCUAACACAUGCAAGUCGAACGGCAGCACAGUAAGAGCUUGCUCUUACGGGUGGCGAGUGGCGGACGGGUGAGGAAUACAUCGGAAUCUACUUUUUCGUGGGGGAUAACGUAGGGAAACUUACGCUAAUACCGCAUACGACCUACGGGUGAAAGCAGGGGAUCUUCGGACCUUGUGCGAUGGAAUGAGCCGAUGUCGGAUUAGCUAGUUGGUGGGGUAAAGGCCCACCAAGGCGACGAUCCGUAGCUGGUCUGAGAGGAUGAUCAGCCACACUGGAACUGAGACACGGUCCAGACUCCUACGGGAGGCAGCAGUGGGGAAUAUUGGACAAUGGGCGAAAGCCUGAUCCAGCCAUACCGCGUGGGUGAAGAAGGCCUUCGGGUUGUAAAGCCCUUUUGUUGGGAAAGAAAAGAAGCAGGUUAAUACCGCGCUGUUCUGACGGUACCCAAAGAAUAAGCACCGGCUAACUUCGUG
rnacentral:rRNA from 1 species